rnacentral:rRNA from 1 species
UACGGAGGGUGCGAGCGUUGUCCGGAAUCACUGGGCGUAAAGGGCGCGUAGGCGGUCUGCUAAGCGUGCGGUGAAAGCCUGGGGCUCAACCCCAGGUCUGCCGUGCGAACUGGUGGACUAGAGCACUGUAGAGGCAGGUGGAAUUUCGGGUGUAGCGGUGGAAUGCGUAGAGAUCCGAAAGAACACCGGUGGCGAAGGCGGCCUGCUGGGCAGUUGCUGACGCUGAGGCGCGACAGCGUGGGGGAGCAAACAGG